UCGAGUCUUUGCACGUGUUGUAUGCUCUAUUUCUUAUUUUCCCCAAAGUUAUUGUGAGUUCAAGGACAAGUUUUAAUACGUCAUUCUAUAAGAGGUGGUGCGUGGUGGUAGUUUCUAUUUGUUGAUUUGCUUGCCGAGUUUUAGGUUAUAUUGUAUCAUGGGUACUGACAUGUCUGGAGCUGUAGAGUGUAAGAAAAAGAAAAGAAAUAGAGGGAAGCGCAGGCCGUUCGUACCUCCUGUGGUCGAAGUUUUUAGAUACAAAUGCCUGCGCCAAGAUCAGUUUUCCGGAGGAAAUUCCUGAUGAAGUGUUGGAAGCCUAUCUACGCCACCAUUCCUUAGGUCAGGGGGAUAUCUGUCCGGACGCACUCUCUUGGUGUCUAGAUAGGUUUAGUGAGAUGUACCCGGAUGCUUCGUAUAUGAAUUUUCAGUUUGUUUAGUAACAGUAUUUUAUGUGUAUAUGUGCCUGGUGUUGUUUGUUAAAGUGUUUCUGUAUACUGAGUAACUCGUGUGACAUUUGCAUUGUUUUGGUUAUGUAUGAUACAUAUAUGUAUAUAUAUAUAUAUUUUAUUUCAUAGCGUGAUUCUUUUGAAUUUGACUACAUGAUAAUAUUUUUAUUACUAUUGUGUUACACUUUAUUUAUUUAAAUUAGUAAGUUUUGUUUUGGAUGUACAUAUAUGUUUUGUAGUUUAGGUUAUGUUUUGCUUGUUCUAUGUAUAUAUAGUAAUUGAUUUAGUAAUGUAUUACACACAUAUAUAUGUAUAUCUUCAGGAUGUAAUUUUCUAAUAGGACAGACAAU